GAUGAACGCUGACAGAAUGCUUAACACAUGCAAGUCUACUUGAACUUCGGUUUGGGUGGCGGACGGGUGAGUAACGCGUAAAGAACUUACCUCACAGUUAGGGACAACAUUUGGAAACGAAUGCUAAUACCUGAUAUUAUGAUUUUAGGGCAUCCUAAGAUUAUGAAAGCUAUAUGCGCUGUGAGAGAGCUUUGCGUCCCAUUAGCUAGUUGGAGAGGUAACGGCUCACCAAGGCGAUGAUGGGUAGCCGGCCUGAGAGGGUGAACGGCCACAAGGGGACUGAGACACGGCCCUUACUCCUUCGGGAGGCAGCGGUGGGGAAUAUUGGACAAUGGACCAAAAGUCUGAUCCAGCAAUUCUGUGUGCACGAUGACGUUUUUCGGAAUGUAAAGUGCUUUCAGUUGGGAAGAAAAAAAUGACGGUACCAACAGAAGAAGUGACGGCUAAAUACGUG
rnacentral:rRNA from 1 species